UUGAUGUGUGAUAAUAAAGGCAGAAGGACAGAAAUGACCCGGCACAGACGAUACUGAACUUUCAGGGAGUGAAAUUCUCCGUUUGGGUCAUCCUCUGUCCUCUUCUAUAGAACAGUCUGAAACUUGUGUUGUGUGCUUUUCAUUCUAGGAUAAAAAGGGGUUAUAUUUAAUAACCCUAUCAGCCUGGUGCCGUGACACGGAUCCCAACAUAUCAACUCACUGAGGAGCAACGCGCUGAAAUCCACCGGUGGUCGGAGUCAAGGACCUGUCUAAAGUCCCGGGAGGUAAUUUCCUCACUGGGCCAGCAUCAUAGGUUAACUCCUUUCGCCAACGAGGGAUUGACGGGAUCCGACCUGGAGAAAAACACACCACAGCAAGAUCCACAAGCAGUGAGACCAGGAGACUGGGUGUUAACUGGGCGAGCCAAAGGUGGGAAGGACCAUCUCAAGUGCUCCUGACCACGCCAACAGCUGUGAAGAUCGCUGACAGACCUUCCUGGAUUCACCUCAGCCACUUCCAGAUCCGCUGAGUGAGAGAGGAAAGAGGUUCAUCCACUCCGCUGCCAUGAAGAUUUGGCUGGGUAAUAUCCCAAACCACUACGAUGACAACCUAUGGGAAACGUAUGCAAGAACUGUUUUCGAGCUGCAUAAUAAGACUGAUUGCUACGUGUGUUCUGUCAUGCCUAAAUCUACCAAGCAGCCUACCUUGUACAUAACUCCCAUGAACACCUCACAGGCUAUUUAUUUUGCAUCAUAUGCAUUCCAGUUUAGCAAUCAUGCCUAAAGUCUAUGAUUGCUAAAACUAUGGGAAAUGUAAUGUUUCAAUAUCAAAUGCUUUCACAAAUCCCUCUUUGUACACCCCUGCUCAGUUAAUGAACGCCACGACUGGGGAGAUAUGAUGGAACAAGUGUGCAAAGGAGUAAAGUCGUGACUGUUCUCUUACAGUAAUGUUACAGGCUAUCCCGCCAAGAUGAAGGCUGCUAUGUCUAAAGGAAUGAAACAUCCAGUGUGUAUUCACUCACCUAGUGAAUACACACUGGAAACUAUGGGAAAUGUAAUGUUUCAAUAUCAAAUGCUUUCACAAAUCCCUCUUAAAGAAGUACACCCCUGCUCAGUUAAUGAACGCCACGACUGGGGAGAUUAUGAUGGAACAAGUGUGCAAAGGAGUAAAGUCGUCACUGUUCUCUUACAGUAAUGUUACAGGCUAUCCCACUGUCAUGUUAGGAGGAAAGACAGAAGAAGUUGUCUCAGUUGGAAAACGAUGCUUCCAUUU